rnacentral:rRNA from 1 species
UACGUAGGGUGCAAGCGUUAAUCGGAAUUACUGGGCGUAAAGCGUGCGCAGGCGGUGAUGUAAGACAGAUGUGAAAUCCCCGGGCUCAACCUGGGAACUGCAUUUGUGACUGCAUCGCUGGAGUACGGCAGAGGGGGAUGGAAUUCCGCGUGUAGCAGUGAAAUGCGUAGAUAUGCGGAGGAACACCGAUGGCGAAGGCAAUCCCCUGGGCCUGCACAUGACGCUCAUGCACGAAAGCGUGGGGAGCAAACAGGA